AGGGUUUGAUCAUGGCUCAGAACGAACGCUGGCGGCGUGCCUAACACAUGCAAGUCGUGCGAGAAAGUUCCCUUCGGGGAGCGAGUAGAGCGGCGCACGGGUGAGUAACACGUAGGUAACCUGCCCCAAAGUUCGGGAUAACCAGCCGAAAGGCUGGCUAAUACCGAAUAAGACCACGCCCACUUCGGUGGCAGUGGUCAAAGACGGCCUCUUCUUGAAAGCUGUCGCUAUGGGAUGGGCCUGCGCACCAUUAGCUUGUUGGUGGGGUAACGGCCCACCAAGGCUGUGAUGGUUAGCUGGUCUGAGAGGAUGAUCAGCCACACUGGGACUGAGACACGGCCCAGACUCCUACGGGAGGCAGCAGUGGGGAAUAUUGCGCAAUGGGGGAAACCCUGACGCAGCGACGCCGCGUGAGUGAUGAAGGCCUUCGGGUCGUAAAGCUCUGUCGUAGGGGAAGAAAUGCCACGGGCUAAUACUCCGUGGAUAUGACGGUACCCUGCAAGAAAGCACCGGCUAACUCCGUGCCAGCAGCCGCGGUAAUACGGAGGGUGCAAGCGUUGUUCGGAAUUACUGGGCGUAAAGCGCGUGUAGGCGGUCGAUUAAGUCUGGUGUGAAAGCCCGGGGCUCACCCCCGGAAGUGCGCUGGAAACUGGUCAACUGGAGUAUGGGAGAGGGAAGCGGAAUUCCUGGUGUAGCG
rnacentral:rRNA from 1 species